rfam:Camelus ferus unplaced genomic scaffold scaffold692, whole genome shotgun sequence.
AGCUCAGUGGUAGGGUGUGUGCUUAGCGUGCACAAGGUCCUGGGUUCAAUCCCCAG